GGCUCGAUGGUCAGGGUGACGUUGGUGUCGGCAGUCAGCUGGCCACCGGUCAGCGUGAAGCCGUUGGCCGCGGUGCAACCCACGGUCGAGCUG
rnacentral:tRNA from 1 species